rnacentral:tRNA from 1 species
GCAGUCGUGGCCGAGUGGUUAAGGCGAUGGACUAGAGAUCCAUUGGGGUCUCCCCGCACAGGUUCGAAUCCUGUCGACUGCG